rnacentral:lncRNA from 1 species
AAAUUUUAAGUUUUGAGUUCCAUCCUAGGAAUCAAAUCCUCCGAGACGUAUUACACAAAACCAUGUGGAAGAUUUUCUGAAGUUGGCACCCUCCUUCGUCUGAUGAAUUGACUUUGAUCUGCUAUGCAAUAAAAAGCUGAUGGUGAAAUUCCUUUGGACGUAGGUUUGAAUUUUCAAGAGCUUUUGAAAACGAGAGAUGCACUCUUUACAAAGGUAAAAUAUUGUUCUUAGAUAACUUUGACACAUCACGAAUAUUUUAGCACACACACAUGUGGGUUCGGCAGUAUGAUAAUAAUAGACAUAAUACCAGAUUAUUAAACUGCUUUACAACCCAAACAUCUCAAAGGAAUAAUACUCUUGCAUGUAAUGCUAUCUUAAUAAUAAUCCAUAUUUGAUAUGAGAAACUCAGAAGGAAAAGUAUCUAACCUUGGUCAUUUGUCCUUCCUCUUUUCGACUCGCCGGUGCCUGUACAUGUUAGCGAGAACAAGUAAAUGCCAUGGGUCUAAAAUUAUAAACUUGAAGGUUGAAACAAGUUAUAAAUGUUAACUAAAUCAAUACAUAAAUAAUUAUUUAGAAUCUGUUACCCAUUUAUCCUCUAAUCUUCCAGCAAUUAUUUUUGGAUUUCGGGCUCCAUGGAGGCCAUUUAAAAAAUACAAAAACCACAUUUAAAGUUUCAUUUUUUAACAAAAGAUACAUAGGAACCUAGGGAUGUAUAUUACAUCUCGUAAAGUUUCACGAUGAAAUUCGUUGAAGUUCAACUACACAAUAAAAUCAUCUCUUUCUAGCACAUGUACUAUUCACUAUAAAAGUUAUGAUUUUAUUUAUUGUAUGGAUCACACAAAAGAGUAUCUGAUCAUGAAACUUGACAUAAAUGGAGUAUACAUCUCAAUGUUCAUGUGUAUUUUUUCUUCAGAUUUAUUAUUAUUGUUGUUUUUCAAAAAUAGGGCUCCAUGGAGCUUGGGAGCAAGACAUACACUCUCCAAAUAAAAUAGCGGAAUAUACAUAAAAAUAUUUAACACAUGGAUAAGAUUUGUAUAUACAAGCAUGUAUAAAAAAUUACACAAUCAUAUCAUGCAUACCAUUUCCUUGUAAAGUAGGAUUUAUUGAUUUCUGCAAGGGAAUAUAAGAGUAUGUUAGUAUAAAAAAGUUGAAAGGCAUGAGCAAUAUAGACACAUAAUACACACAUUAUACAUUGUAAUAUCUGCGAUUUAUGGUAAAAGAAGGAAUGAUCUCACACAUGCAGACAUAUUUAUUAUAUACAUCCGUAAAACAUCACUAAUGAACUAGUUUAUUCCUCUAACAAAGAAAUAGUUAAAACCAAUAUAGUCUCAUAGCAUACUCGAUAGUCAAUAUAUGACCAAUGCUAAACGUGAUCACCAUAGUAGCAAUAGAAGUAUUUGUUGUGUUUUGUUGAUGGGGUUAUUUGUGAGAAGAAACAUAUAUCAUAACCUUAUAUUUUCUCUAGAUCGAAGGCAGGAAAAGGGGGUACAUCUGUCCUAAAAAAUAAACAUACAAAACUAAAAGAUAUAAAUAUACUAACCCGAGUUUUAUGCCCACCAUUAUCUUCUCGAGCUCCUUUUUUGACUUUCUUUGCACUUUGGAUGUUGGACGAGUUUUCUUUGCCAAUAAAGUAUACUUCUUGUUUCUUA